GUAACUGCGAGUGAAGCGGGAAAAGCUCAAAUUUAAAAUCUGACAGUCUUAGAUUGUCCGAGUUGUAAUCUAGAGAAGCGUUAUCCGCACUGGACCAUGUACAAGUCUUCUGGAACGAAGCGUCACAGAGGGUGAGAAUCCCGUUUCUGACAUGGACUACCAGAGCUUUGUGAUACGCUCUCGAAGAGUCGAGUUGUUUGGGAAUGCAGCUCUAAAUGGGUGGUAAAUUCCAUCUAAAGCUAAAUAUUGGCGAGAGACCGAUAGCGAACAAGUACCGUGAGGGAAAGAUGAAAAGAACUUUGGAAAGAGAGUUAAACAGUACGUGAAAUUGUUGAAAGGGAAACGCUUGAAGUCAGUCGCAUUGGUCAGGGAUCAACCUUGUUUUAUCUACUUGGUGUAUUUCCUGAUUCAAUGGGUCAGCAUCAAUUUUGACCAGUGGAAAAAGGUUGAGGGAAUGUGGCAUCUUCAGAUGUGUUAUAGCCCUCGGUUGCAUACAUUGGUUGGGAUUGAGGAAUUCAGCAUGCCGCAAGGCCGGGUUUCUAACCACGAUCAUGCUUAGGAUGCUGGCAUAAUGGCUUCAAUCGACCCGUCUUGAAACACGGACCAAGGAGUCUAACAUACCUGCGAGUGUUUGGGUGGAAAACUCAAGCGCGUAAUGAAAGUGAAAGUUGGCAUCUCUGUCAUGGAGAGCACCGACGCCCGGACCAGACCUUCUGUGACGGUUCUGCGGUAGAGCAUGUAUGUUGGGACCCGAAAGAUGGUGAACUAUGCCUGAAUAGGGUGAAGCCAGAGGAAACUCUGGUGGAGGCUCGUAGCGAUUCUGACGUGCAAAUCGAUCGUCGAAAUUUGGGUAUAGGGGCGAAAGACUAAAUCGAACCAUCUAGUAGCUGGUUCCUGCC
rnacentral:rRNA from 1 species